GCCUUCUUAGCGCAGUGGGCAGCACGUCAAUCUCAUAAUCUGAAGGCCCUGAGUUUGAGCUUCAGAGAGGGCA
rnacentral:tRNA from 1 species